rnacentral:misc_RNA from 1 species
GCUCCUCCCUGCUCUUCAGCUGAGGUAAGUUCAUCUUCCAUAUCUUCUGCUAAAUAUUGUCUAAACAUGUCUGAUUUUGAGUUAUUCUGGUCAUUACAAGAUUCAUGGGGUUUGAGUCACCUUAUAGAUAAACCUGAAAUUGAAAUUUUUUUCUUCAAAGGCUAUGGUUAUUGAUUUCGGAAAUGGGAUGUGUUUUGUUCUAUAUUGUCAAAAACCAUUUUUAUUUUUCUCAAAAUUAUUAACUAUAAAUUAUACUGCUUUUGUGAAUAUGUUUAUUUUUUCUUUUUUAUUUCCCUAACUUUUUUUUUUACCCAUUUCUUCUGCUAGGCCAUUUUUUAUUUUAUUUCAUUUGUUCUUGAUUGAUGCUAUCACCUUCAAAUCAUUUCUUCAAGUUGAGAACUUGCUGGCUGCUGCUGAUAAUUUAUGUCAACAUUUAGUACCAUUUCUUAUUCUUUAAGUUAUAAUCUUAUAAUUAUAAUUGCUUAACAUUUUUUUCCGUAAUAAUUGCUUAACAUUGGCUUCUGCUAUUUAGGGUAUUUUGAGAUGUCAACAUUAGGUAACAGUGAGGCUGCCUCUGUUUCUCGGCCAUCUGAGAGUUGUAAAGAUUACGUUUCCAUGAAUAUUUCAAAAGAUUAGUGUUGUAUUUAUGAACUUGUUGUUUUAUAAUUCGUGAUUUAAUAUGUUGUUAUUUGACAUGUUUGAUACAAUUUAUAUACUAUGAUUAAUAUUUUUAUCAUGUUUUAUGUAUUAUGUUUGUUUAAAUUAUAUAAACUUUGGUGAAUAUUUAAUGUGAUAUGUUUAAUUGUUUCUAAAAGUUUUUCUUUUGCAACACUUUAUUGAAGUUUCUCUAUAGUUUCAGGUUCAGGUUUCCUAUCUUUUUCCCCCCUUAUUUGCCAGCAAAAAGGAUAAUAAAAUAAUGGGUUUGGGCCGGUUAGGGAAGUAUGCUGUUACUAGUUAUCGGAUUUGGUGUGGGUUGGGGUAAUGAAAUAUAUAUUUCAUUUGGGUUUGAGACAGGCAUGGGUAGUUAUAUUCUUCACGGGUUUGGGUUCAGAUAAAUUGAAAUUCCUGGGUACCCUACCCAUUGUACUAUUUGGUUCAACCUCUAUACUUAUCUCUAUACUUAUCUGGUUAUUCUCUCUCUCUCUCUCUCUCU